rnacentral:rRNA from 1 species
UACGUAGGGUGCGAGCGUUAAUCGGAAUCACUGGGCGUAAAGCGCACGUAGGCGGGUUGUUAAGUCGGGGGUGAAAUCCUGGAGCUCAACUCCAGAACUGCCUUCGAUACUGGCGACCUUGAGUCCGGGAGAGGUGAGUGGAACUCCGAGUGUAGAGGUGAAAUUCGUAGAUAUUCGGAAGAACACCAGUGGCGAAGGCGGCUCACUGGCCCGGUACUGACGCUGAGGUGCGAAAGCGUGGGGAGCAAACAGG